UCAGGCAGGUAUGCAUGGGAGGUGGGGAUCGGAACGGGGUGUUUCUACUGCAACCGCCUGGAGACCUGGCCGGUACCAUUCUCCAUAGUGCAGAUGGGGAAACAGGGUUGGAGAGAGGGGACCUCGUCUGGGUCGUUAACAAUGCGGUGCGUAGCUGUGAGGGAGUUUACACCUCUGACUUCGGGCCUUGGCUCCUGGGACGGCGCACUGGUGCACAGAGCCGCUUCUGGAGUCUGGUGGACUCGGGUUCGUGUCUUGCCUGGGACAGUUUCUUUUCUUUUCUUUUUUUUUUUUUUUUUUGAGACGGAGUCUCUCUCUGGCACCCAGGCUGGAGUGCAGUGGCGUGACCUCGGCUCGCUGCAACCUCCGUCUGCUGGGUUCAAGCAGUUCUCCUGCCUCAGCCUCCCGAGUAGCUGGGACUACAGGUGCGCGUCACUAUGCCCGGCUAAUUUUUUGUAUUUUUAGUAGAGACAGGGUUUCACCAUGCUGGCCAGGCUGGUCUCGAACUCCUGACCUCGUGAUCCGCGCACCUCGGCCUCCCAAAGUGCUGGGAUUACAGGCGUGAGCCACCGUGCCCAGCUUGCCUGGGACAGUUUCUACCUGAGUGACGUUGGGCAAGUCGCUUCCCUUCUCUGACCCUACUUGUAUCUGAAGAUGUGGCACUUAGCAGGUGCUCAAUAAAUGCUAGUUUGGACUUUUAUCUGGAAGCAAAGGGGACCGCUGAUUUAAACCUUCAGUUAAACUUGCUUGUGACCUCUUUAAAUAUAAAAUUGUAAAUUUUUUAGUUGGUGGUUUACGCUGAUGUCCUGGAUUAUAGGUUAAAUUAGGAGGAAAUUUUCAGCAUGUAAAUCCAUGACAGUACACACACAAUGUCAGAUUCAAAGCUCCCAAUCAAAGGCAAUCAUCUGCUCCUUGUAACAUCAGUUAAGAUCAUGUAACAUCUGGUCCUUGCUGUGUGUUGAGCUGCCUCCCAGGCCUUGGAUAUUCGUAGACUAAUGCACUGCUUGCCAUGGGUUUGGUGUGAUUUUCCCCCAUCUUAUGGAUUAAGAAAGUGAAAUUCAGAAAUAAUGACUUGCUCAAGAUCACACACGCUAGGUUAGACACAGAUCUGUCCUGUCCCCACAUAUGUGCCCUAACCUACCACCAACCCAUUUAUUAGCAGAGACUGAGCUAUGGGCUCAGCCCACUCCAGCUAAAAAUGUGAGGAAAACGUUAAGUGGCCAAGACAAGAAUGAUCAAAUAGGUGGGUAAGGCUCUAAAUGGAGUCAAGGGGGUGUCAGAGCAAGAGCAAAACUAUUCUCAGGCAAUGUAUUGGUAGAAGCGGGGGUGUCAUACAAGGCUCACCUGCUUUCCUGGUUCCUCUCACUCCCAGGGUGGCAACCAACUAUAUCUGAGGACCAGAGCCAUUUUGAGGCACCAGAGCUUGUGACCUCUCCAUCUCCACCCAGCUGGGUCCAGGGGCCACUCUCAGCACCCACCCCAGCAGCUGACAUCAUAAAGCAGACUUGGGAACCUGGAAGCACUCUGGAGAACCUUUUCCUGAGACAUGCAGCUUUGGGGUCGAAUGCUGUGGGCCCUCCUGUCCGGCCCAGGGAGGAGGGGAAGUACCCGGGGCUGGGCCUUCAGCUCAUGGCAACCCCAACCACCUCUGGCUGGGUUAUCCAGUGCCACAGAACUGGUCAGCCACUGGACUCGGGUCUUUGAGAAGAGGGGUAUCCCUGAGGCCCGGGAAUCCAGUGAGUACAUCGUGGCUCAUGUCCUUGGAGCCAAAACAGUUAAGUUUAGUGUUGUCAAGAGGACAGGAAGAGGGAGGAGGGAGGACUUGGGGAGGGGAUAUCCAGGUUUUCUGUUCACUAAGAGUGCUUAGCUGAGACUGAUGGGAUUUUUCUGAAGGAAUGUCUUAGCGCCUGGCACACACUGUAACAGUUUGUUGAAUGAAUGAAUAUAUCUCUGCCUAAGUGUUCUGGGAUAGACACCUGGAAGCCUGGUGUUAGCUGUGUAACCUUAGGCAGGCUGCCCCCUCUGGGCUCAGAUGAUGAGAGGGUUGGGCCUCCAGACCAGUGCUGGGCAGGCAUUAUCCACAUAAGACACCUGGGUUGGAGCCCUUGGGCCCAGUGAGCCAGCCACUUACAUUCUCUGUGGGGACAGUUUCAGAGCCUGAGGCCGGCACUUUGGACCCAGCCCUUGACCUCUCAGCAACUACAAUGUAUCCAGGAGCUGAGUAGCCGUCGAUUGCAGAGGAACUGGUUGAGUGGGUGCUGGAAGAGGUGGCCCAGAGGUCCCAUGCUGUGGGAUCCCCAGGCAGCCCCCUCAUUCUGGAGGUGGGCUGCGGAUCAGGAGCCAUCUCCCUCAGCCUGCUGAGCCAGCUCCCCCAGAGCCGAGUCAUUGCUGUGGAUAAGGGGGAAGCUGCUAUCUCUCUGACCCAUGAGAAUGCUCAGAGCUAUGAAGACCCCGCGGCCCUGGAUGGUGGGGAGGAGGGCAUGGACAUCAUUACCCACAUUCUGGCCCUGGCACCCCGGCUCCUGAAGGACUCUGGGUAUGAAUGGGAUGGGUCUCCUAGGUCUGUCCCCAGCAGGCUCCUCUGCUCCUAAUGUGUACUGGGCAGGCCCUGGCAGAGGUGCGCACAGGACCGUCACCUUGCCAGCCCAAGCAGCCCAGAAGGGCAGGCCCCAGACCUGUCCUGCUGAGCCCACCCAUUUCUCCCCCAUGUAGUAGUAUCUUCUUAGAAGUGGACCCAAGGCACCCGGAGCUUAUCAGCAGCUGGCUUCAGAGCCGGCCUGACCUGUACCUUAAUCUUGUGGCUGUGCGCAGGGACUUCUGUGGGAGGUAAGAUCCUAGCCCCCUUUAGCCCUGUAGCAUGCUGGUCUUUCCACUGGGGCCAUCCUCAGCCCUGGCUGUCAGGAGAGUGUGCUGUUCCCACUCCCUGUUCAUUCCCCGAGGCCCAGGCGGUAACCAGCCCCUGUCUCUGUCUCCUCAGGCCCCGGUUCCUGCAUAUCCGGAGGUCUGGGCCAUAGCGUGGCUGCCCUGUGGAUGCCUUGUCAGUGCCGCCAGCCUGACCAGAGGGAGGUGGAUGGCACUUUCCAGAGCCCAGGUGCUUAUGGCAUUUCCCAAGGUUCUGUGAUUUCCCCAUGCUCUGCAUUUCUAGGAUAUUCUAGGACACCUGGAUUGGCUCCAUCACAUCAGAGUGGCUGAGGGCAGUUGCUCUGUGUUGGUGAAAUUGCUAUGGGGGUAUCGGGGGAUAUGGCCAGUAAAGUAUUGAGAGACUAAC
rnacentral:sRNA from 1 species